CGGAGGGAGCUAGCGUUGUUCGGAAUUACUGGGCGUAAAGCGCGCGUAGGCGGCUGCUCAAGUCAGAGGUGAAAGCCCGGGCUCAACCCCGGAACUGCCUUUGAACUAGGUAGCUAGAAUCUUGGAGAGGUCAGUGGAAUUCCGAGUGUAGAGGUGAAAUUCGUAGAUAUUCGGAAGAACACCAGUGGCGAAGGCGACUGACUGGACAAGUAUUGACGCUGAGGUGCGAAAGCGUGGGGAGCGAAACAGGAUU
rnacentral:rRNA from 1 species